UCAUUGCUAUCCUCAUUUGCAUAUUUCAGAUCAAAUAUUCAGGGAAGGGAGAGCUGGUUUAAAUGCAGUAAUUGCUGUAGAGGUAGAAAAAUAUUCACAAAAUGGUCAAGAUCUAUAUGAGUUUUAAUCACGCAAAAACCAUAUAAAUAGAUGUAUUUUUAGGUCAAUUGAGUGAACACAUUGAUCAGUUUUUUUCCUUUCAGUCUAUACUCGUCUUUUGAAUAGUCAACAACAACAACAACAAACCCAGUGUAGUCCCAAAAGUGGGGCUUUUGAAUCUAAGUCAAUUACAAUUAUUUAAAAAAAAAAAGGAAAAAAAGGCUAACAUUAAUAUUUAAGUCACAUGGAGUGGGUUUUUUUUUUUUAAUCACAUUGUCAUAAGAAACAUCUGAGCAUAAAUAGUAGGUAUGUCAGUAGCAUUGAAGAAUAGUUGUUUGUGGUUUGGCGAGCAAAACAUACAUAGUAGAAAGAGCAGAUAUGAAUUCCAAAGAUGACUUAUUGAGCGUGAACCAUCUGUUUAUACCCAAUGAUUCUUCAAGUUAAUAAGCGCAAGCAUUUAGAUAAUGCGAAACAAUGAUUACUUUUCCAAUUACCAGCAUAACUACAUGAGACCAAAGACACAUUCUACCAACACCAUACACCAAAUAAAGGUAUUUGCUAAAUAGUUUAAUCAAGCAGACGUAAUUACGUAACAGUUGGGGAUAAAUCUCAAUAGCUACAGUCCCAGAAUAAGACACUCAGUAUGCAAAAGUUCAAAGAGAGUCCCAUUAGGAGCAUACUCAAAAUCCAUCAUUCUGGUAAAGCAACAUGGAACUUGCAUGAGUCAAGUGUUUUUAUCAAAUUAAUUGAAAUUCUGGAGCACAACUUUGCCUCCCAAUUUCAAAUCUCUUAAUGGACAACGAACACAGUUCAGUUCCAUAAACUGUUGAUUCUUUAUUACACCAAUCAGUAAACCUCAAACAUGUCAAAUUCAACACUUUAGAGAUGUAAUUAUCUCAUCCACGCAAGAGUAGAAACUUACCAAGAAGGACAACAUCAGAAACUGCAUUUUUGUGAAUUUUUGUGGCACAGAUCAAAUUUCUCUGGCAGUUCUGGAGUUGAUCCGAAUGCAAUAUCCAUAAGUCCCACAUUCAUGACAUGUUUAGAAAUUGUUUUAUGCAGAAGAAAGUUGAGUUCGUUAAGACAUUAAUAACACACUUUUACAACUUCAAGUCAAGUACCUAGAAUAAGUCAAUGAUUCAUCAUUGUCUAUAGAAGCAACCCUAUCAACCCCUACAUAGCAAUCACCAAUAAAGAAGUUAGGAAUGUCAGAAAUUAGUUCCAAACAUCUUAAUCGAACAUGUUGUGUAUGAAGUUUUCUAACUCUAAUAGGACUGCAAGAAAUAGCAAUACGUAAAGACAUGAAACACAAAUAAAAGAUAAAAAGUAAAUGACACCAACAAACAGUAAAUUUAACCUGCUUUUAGGGAGCUUAGAUUUCCAAUCAAGCGUUAUGUAUAGCUUCACGCCUUCACAUGAGCUAAAAAUAUAGUUGUGAGGGCAGGGUAGCAAUAAAUAUGCUCUAAUCAGCCAAUUGAUUCAUAUAGGUCUUAGAGGCACAUCAGCAAACACCUUGAGUGCUUAGUCCACUUCAAAUUCCAGUAAGCAAACAAUAAAAAAAGAUUAAAUAAGUAGAAUAAAACAAAUCGUAAUGAAAAAGUAUAUCCCAAAUCAAGAGAAACCAAAAUUCCAGCUGCAAUUUUAAUUUGAUACCUCGGAUUUUCGGCAAGACGUUUAGCUCUGCACUAAUUAGUUGGUAGCAAAAGAAAAAAUUCAUCUAAUAAAAGUCAUAAUGCAUGUAUAAAUCAGGUACAAUUACUGACAUGCACAUAAAAUUUGUAGCAUGAAAUUUAUUCAAAAGAAGAGUAAGCUAAUAUAUAUUCUCUAAAUUGUCAUCUCCAACAAAGUAACUUCAACAAAUAAAGAAAUAUUGCAUAAAAAAAUUACCCAAAUAGAGCUCGUAUCAGAUACAAAUAGAAAAAAAUGGAUAAACUUUAAAAAGAGUAAGGACCCAAAUUUUGAUUACCAACAAAUUAAAGAAGUAUAAGGAAGUACAAUAGAGAAAGGAGAGGCAGUAGAAGAAUGCACGAUUCCAUGAACCUCAACAGCGCAGCUAUAACCACGGUAAUACUAACUGUUAAUAAAAGGUAGGAAUCGAGAAAGCUGAAGGAAUUGUACACGUGUAUAGCGGUAAAAGUUCUAUGAUAUGCACAAAAACAAAGCCAUAUUCUUUUUUCUCUUUUUCAGUUGCCCAUUGAGUAACAAAUAUCAUUAGAGGAGUAAUAAAGUAAUU
rnacentral:lncRNA from 1 species